GACGUAGGGGGCCAGCGUUGUUCGGAAUUACUGGGUGUAAAGGGUUCGUAGGCGGUGUGGCAAGUUGGGAGUGAAAUCUCUGGGCUCAACUCAGAGGCUGCUUCCAAAACUGCUGUGCUUGAGUGUGAGAGAGGCUCGUGGAAUUGCAGGUGUAGCGGUGAAAUGCGUAGAUAUCUGCAGGAACACCCGUGGCGAAAGCGGCGAGCUGGAUCACUACUGACGCUGAGGAACGAAAGCUAGGGGAGCGAACGGG
rnacentral:rRNA from 1 species